CAGCCGCCGCGGUAAUACGGAGGGUGCAAGCGUUAAUCGGAAUUACUGGGCGUAAAGCGCACGCAGGCGGUCUGUCAAGUCGGAUGUGAAAUCCCCGGGCUCAACCUGGGAACUGCAUUCGAAACUGGCAGGCUAGAGUCUUGUAGAGGGGGGUAGAAUUCCAUGUGUAGCGGUGAAAUGCGUAGAGAUCUGGAGGAAUACCGGUGGCGAAGGCGGCCCCCUGGACAAAGACUGACGCUCAGGUGCGAAAGCGUGGGGAGCAAACAGGAUUAGAUACCCCAGUAGUCCCUGUCUCUUAUAA
rnacentral:rRNA from 1 species